AAUAAAUGCAGUUUUACACUGUUUAUAUCUAAUAUUUAACCAUUUGUCUCAUUUGAAAAUAUUUUAUAAUUAUUUUUAUUAUUAUUAGAUGAUAAAACAUGAAUAAUAUUUUACGUGUGACUAUUUUUUUUUAUUUUUUUAUAAAUUUUUUAAAUAAAACAGAGUGUUAAACGUUGGAUACGGAGAUACUCACGACUACACUUAUU
rnacentral:pre_miRNA from 1 species